rnacentral:rRNA from 1 species
UACGUAGGGACCAAGCGUUGUUCGGAUUUACUGGGCGUAAAGGGCGCGUAGGCGGUGCGGUAAGUCACUUGUGAAAUCUCUGAGCUUAACUCAGAACGGCCAAGUGAUACUGCAGUACUAGAGUGCAGAAGGGGCAAUCAGAAUUCUUGGUGUAGCGGUGAAAUGCGUAGAUAUCUGGAGGAACACCGGUGGCGAAGGCGGCAUCCUGGACCGACACUGACACUGAGGAGCGAAAGCCAGGGGAGCAAACGGG